GACAGAAGAUCGACGUGCUUAUACAUGCAAGUCGAACGAAACUUUCUUACACCGAAUGCUUGCAUUCACCGUAAGAAGUUGAGUGGCGGACGGGUGAGUAACACGUGGGUAACCUGCCUAAAAGAAGGGGAUAACACUUGGAAACAGGUGCUAAUACCGUAUAUCUCUAAGGAUCGCAUGAUCCUUAGAUGAAAGAUGGUUCUGCUAUCGCUUUUAGAUGGACCCGCGGCGUAUUAACUAGUUGGUGGGGUAACGGCCUACCAAGGUGAUGAUACGUAGCCGAACUGAGAGGUUGAUCGGCCACAUUGGGACUGAGACACGGCCCAAACUCCUACGGGAGGCAGCAGUAGGGAAUCUUCCACAAUGGACGCAAGUCUGAUGGAGCAACGCCGCGUGAGUGAAGAAGGUCUUCGGAUCGUAAAACUCUGUUGUUAGAGAAGAACACGAGUGAGAGUAACUGUUCAUUCGAUGACGGUAUCUAACCAGCAAGUCACGGCUAACUACGUGCCAGCAGCCGCGGUAAUACGUAGGUGGCAAGCGUUGUCCGGAUUUAUUGGGCGUAAAGGGAACGCAGGCGGUCUUUUAAGUCUGAUGUGAAAGCCUUCGGCUUAACCGGAGUAGUGCAUUGGAAACUGGAAGACUUGAGUGCAGAAGAGGAGAGUGGAACUCCAUGUGUAGCGGUGAAAUGCGUAGAUAUAUGGAAGAACACCAGUGGCGAAAGCGGCUCUCUGGUCUGUAACUGACGCUGAGGUUCGAAAGCGUGGGUAGCAAACAGGAUUAGAUACCCUGGUAGUCCACGCCGUAAACGAUGAAUGCUAGGUGUUGGAGGGUUUCCGCCCUUCAGUGCCGCAGCUAACGCAAUAAGCAUUCCGCCUGGGGAGUACGACCGCAAGGUUGAAACUCAAAGGAAUUGACGGGGGCCCGCACAAGCGGUGGAGCAUGUGGUUUAUUCGAAGCAACGCGAAGAACCU
rnacentral:rRNA from 1 species